rnacentral:rRNA from 1 species
CAAUAGCGUAUAUUAAAGUUGUUGCAGUUAAAAAGCUCGUAGUUGGAUUUGUGGCGUACGGUGGGUUCCGGGCACUUGUUGUCUGAGUAACUUGCUGUUGCCAUCCUUGGGUGGAACCUGUGUGGCAUUAGGUUGUCGUGCAGGGGAUGCCCAUCAUUUACUGUGAAAAAAUUAGAGUGUUCAAAGCAGGCUUAUGCCGUUGAAUAUAUUAGCAUGGAAUAAUGAGAUAGGACUUUUUUGCUAUUUUGUUGGUUUGCGCAAAGAGGUAAUGAUUAAUAGGGACAGUUGGGGGUAUUCGUAUUCCAUUGUCAGAGGUGAAAUUCUUGGAUUUUUGGAAGACGAACUACUGCGAAAGCAUUUACCAAGGACGUUUUCAUUAA